GUGGGGAAUCUUCCGCAAUGGACGAAAGUCUGACGGAGCAACGCCGCGUGAGUGAUGAAGGUCUUCGGAUUGUAAAGCUCUGUUAAUCGGGACGAAAGAGCCUAGUGUGAAUAAUGCUAGGAAGUGACGGUACCGGAAUAGAAAGCCACGGCUAACUACGUGCCAGCAGCCGCGGUAAUACGUAGGUGGCAAGCGUUGUCCGGAAUUAUUGGGAGUAAAGCGCGCGCAGGCGGAUCUGCCAGUCUGUCUUAAAAGUUCGGGGCUUAACCCCGUGAUGGGAUGGAAACUACAGAUCUAGAGUAUCGGAGAGGAAAGUGGAAUUCCUAGUGUAGCGGUGAAAUGCGUAGAUAUUAGGAAGAACAACAGGGGCGAAGGCGACUUUCUGGACGAAAACUGACGCUGAGGCGCGAAAGCCAGGGGAGCGAACGGGAUUAGAUACCCUGGUAGUCC
rnacentral:rRNA from 1 species